rnacentral:rRNA from 1 species
ACGAGUGGCGGACGGGUGAGUAAUGUCUGGGAAACUGCCUGAUGGAGGGGGAUAACUACUGGAAACGGUAGCUAAUACCGCAUAACGUCGCAAGACCAAAGAGGGGGACCUUCGGGCCUCUUGCCAUCGGAUGUGCCCAGAUGGGAUUAGCUUGUUGGUGGGGUAACGGCUCACCUAGGCGACGAUCCCUAGCUGGUCUGAGAGGAUGACCAGCCACACUGGAACUGAGACACGGUCCAGACUCCUACGGGAGGCAGCAGUGGGGAAUAUUGCACAAUGGGCGCAAGCCUGAUGCAGCCAUGCCGCGUGUAUGAAGAAGGCCUUCGGGUUGUAAAGUACUUUCAGCGGGGAGGAAGGGAGUAAAGUUAAUACCUUUGCUCAUUGACGUUACCCGCAGAAGAAGCACCGGCUAACUCCGUGCCAGCAGCCGCGGUAAUACGGAGGGUGCAAGCGUUAAUCGGAAUUACUGGGCGUAAAGCGCACGCAGGCG